AUUGGGUUGUGACACUAUUAUGGAUCAUUUUCCCCUAAUUUCAAAUAAUGCCCUCGACUUAGAGAACUUGCUCCGCUCCAUCUCUUUCUCCGGCGAACUAAUUCGGUGAAAUCGAGUUGUAACUUGUACUACUCCGACACACUGAUUUUGUUAUUUGGUUUGCUGCUUGUGUCUAGAAUGCAAUAUUGGUUAACUUGUUCAGUGCUAGUCGUUGCGACUUCCUCUUCCGUCACGGUUGGUAGCUAGUAAGGAUUGCGACGGUGAAGAAGAAGGCAGUAGUUGCUCAGCGACCCCAAGAGGCACAAGGUACUUGAACUUCUUUUUGUUUUGUGGAUGCUUUUAAAUUCUGGUAAAAUAAAACUCUGCCUAUUUAUGUGCUUUCCACUUUCAAAUUCAAUUAUUACUUGCAUUCACAAAGUCUCUGAGAUACAUUUCUUUUAUUCACAUCUUGCAUUUGUAUACUUGUACGAAUAGAACGAAUGAACAAGAUAUUGAUCUAUUAGUCGAUCAUAUUUUCUUUGAAGAAGUGCAUAAUAUUGGUGUAAAAGUUACAUUAGAAGCUUUGUUUUAGGUAAUAUGACAAUAUCAUUGGGCUAAUGUUAAUUGGGUGCACUAAUUGCAAUUGAUGUCUCUCUAUAUCCUAAUAUUUUCUGUUGUUCUUUCCUCAUUUGGUGUUUGUUCUUGAGCAACAUGUUUAUUGUCAAGAAAGCCAUUUUAUAUUGCUACCUAGUAAUCUUGCAAUGAGAAAAGUUUUUUCUUUCAAAGACAAUAUAUGUGAGCACAUACUAGUUUUGUUUAUAUUGGAGCUAUCUCCUAUUUUAUUUUGCUUGAUAUGGAAUCAGACUUCAAUUCCAUGGCGGUCCUUGCUGUCUUUGAGUUUUAUUAGCAACUUCCUUUCGUGAACAAAUAUAUAAUUUAACUUUUUUGGUAAUCAUUGCACCUCUGUAAUGACGGCAAGCUUGUUUCAGUGUGAUAUGAAUAAGGUUAGGCUUCCUUGUGCCUUCUUAUCUCUCUUAAUUUUUCAUAUCCAAGGCUUUGACAUAAAAUGAAGAAGCAAGAUUGAGGUGCUUUCUUGACCUUUGUAAGGUAAUCACAUUAAUUUGUUUUUCAUUUCUUGCUAUACAUGCUUAGUUUCUUGUCAAGUCUAUUAGUGAUAUCACUUUUCUUAUUCCAUGAAGUAUUGGUAUUUGCUGGUUUUUCUGACCCGUCAAAAUGAAACAAGUUUCAGUUAUGAUGCAUAAUAGAAUAAGCCUUGGUAAGCUAUCAAUGAGUUUCUUUUAUUCCUAUUUGUUCCUUAUCAUGCACCUCAAGUUUAGUCCAACUAUUAUCUGUUAAAUUGUAAAAAACCAAACAGUGAUUAUUUAAAUCUGGUGUCAAAAUGGUGUCUUCAUCUUAUGAUAUUCCAAUCUUAGGUGGAGUUAAUCAAAAACUAAACUCAUUAUAUGAGAACCAAGUUAGUCAAAAAUACUGCUUUCGGGCAUGACUCAGCAACUCUAUAGUCUUCCAUUCUCCAUAUGUCAAUAUGAUAUGCUCGGAUUAUCAACUAUACAAAGAGAUUUCCGCAUGAGGCACUGAUCAUCUUUCUUUAUAGCAUGAACUCUUCUUCUUAGGUUGAUGUGAGUCGUGCACGGGCUGUGAUAAGCCAAAAUUUUUCACAUUCCUCUGGAUCAACUUAUUGUCUGAUUCUUGAAAAGGUAUAGGAAGGCAAAGCUAUUAAAAAGAAUAAAGAGAAUACAAAUGGGGAACUUAAGGCCUAUAGACCUUCAGAAGGUUCUAUUGGUUUGAACAAGGAAAGUUCACAUGCUGCUUAGAUUAAUGGGGAGGUUAAGCUUACAAAAAAAUGAUCAAUUACAAAAUCAGGAGAUGAUGUAAAGGGUGUAAAACAAAUCAUGUAUCAGAAAUGAAACAUGCAGCCAAGGAGAUAGCAAAUGGUGUUCAUAAUAGAUGUUAUCUUCAACUAUUUAAUGUGUUUAAAGUAUUAUCAUGAUACAUAUGUUUUACUUUUUUAAAGUUCAUUCCUAGAAUGCACCUCUAAGCAAUUUGCUUUAUUAGUUAAUGUAGUAGUGCAAUACAUAAAGUUUUGCAGAAGUUAAUAGCAAGUGCAUGCAUUUGAAGUU